CUUGCGGAGGGGAAAACGAGCACAAGCUCCUACAAUGGCUCAGGGGCUGGAGCUUCCCCCGUCUGUGUACACUGGCCCCAGCAGUCUGCCGGCUCCAGAGAGGACCUGCCUUCUUGGUGCUGCCAUCUGCAUAUCCCAUUUCCUUCAUGAAUCUGUCACCUUUCCAGGCUGCCAUCUGUAAAGUGGAGACGCGGAGCGGGGCGGGAGGUUAAAGAACAAUCUGGCCCAGGGACUCCGAACCGACAGACUUUAUUCUGAUGCAUUGUAAUGUUGUCUUGCUUAUGGUAAUUCUGUCUUUAUAUUAAACGUGUCUGCAGCGGGGACGUUUGCAAAGUGCGGAACCGCCUGGAAGAUGCAACCCGACUGUUUGGUGCCCAUCUUGGUUACCGCCGGACCAACAAAGCAAAUAUUUUCCAGGGGAAAUUAUAGGGAAAAAA